AAUUCAGUACGAGGGGUAGGGAGGUCCCAGGAGAUGGGGUGAUGGGAAUUUGGAGGUGGGGAAAGGGUGGGAAAAAGAUGCAGAAAUUUCACACAGUGAAUCAAAAAUAGUAAAGGUGCUAGUAUAGAUCCCAGAUUAAUUUUGAGUGGUCAACACACAAUUAUUAAAAGGGAAUCAGCUCCUUGGUUUACCCAGUACCGUCCUUAGUCCCUCUCAGCAAAGAAUAGGCUAGUAUUGGAUGGACCAAAUUUGUAAAUAUCCAAGAGUAUUCUCUACUGCAAUGUCCGCGUCAUCUCACAGGCUACCCAGGAUCAAAGUAAAAGGAAUUCUAUUUAAUAAUUUGAAGACAUGAGAACCAUUUGGCUCUUUCUAACAAAUAUCUUAAUUAUAUUUCAAUAUCCUUGAAAGGCACAAAGCCCAGAAUGCUAAAGCUGAAAUGGACAGAACAUGACCUUCUUAUUUUAGUCUCAGUUUCUGAAUUAUAAACUUGCCCCAUUCCUUCCUCCCUCCUCCCUAUGGUUUUAAAUGUUGCCGGAUCCUGUGGUGAUCAGAAAGGUGUGAGAUAUCUCUCUCUCUCUCUCUCUCUAUAUAUAUCUAUACAUAUACUCCAGAGAUAACUAAAUAAGUUUUGCUUAACUUCAAGCACAGGAGCAUAAGCCACUCCAAGUAAACAUAUAACGAAAGCUAAAAUAAGUUAGUCAGCAGAGACAGCGAGCUCCAGGUCUCUCCAUCAGUAGUUCUCACUGCCCUUCCGAAGCAAUCUUGCCACCAGUAACUGCCUGGCACGCACUCUCCACUGCGUUCUGAGCCAGUGAGUGUCUGCUGCCCUUGACUCCUCAAACCUCAAACACACAGUUUUUCCAAAUGUCCAGGCAGGAGCAGGUAUACAGCCUUCCUGGGUUAAUUUGUACAACAGCCCAUUCUUAAUUAUUUGUCAAUGUUUAAUCAGGUAAAAGUCAAUCAUUUCAGCACAGUCCAGCUUUGGACAAAGUCUUUAUUGACCAUUACAAGUCUUUUGUUGACCUGAGGACUUUCUUGGGCAUAACAUACACAGAGAGAAAACAAGAAGAGGAGAAAGAAAAGUUAAGUCAAUUAAGUCACACUUUGUUAAUGGUCCCGAUAAGCUUAGUUUUGAAAAAGUCCGGUUUGGAAGCAAGUCCAGCUUGGGCAGUGCACACCAAAGAAAUUCAGCCAAAAGUGUAUCAAGUUCUAUUUUCUUUUAUUCUAAAAGCAUGUUUGUAGGCAGUUUCCCUGAAGUUAUUAUCGGAAUCAGAGAUGAGCUAUUACGCAAUUGACACCUGAGAAGAAAAGAAACCCCAAAUACGCCUAGACUAGUUCAAGGUCAAGUGUUUGCAAAUAUGCGCAUAAUCUGGAAGAAGAGAUGGAAAAAAAGGUGAGUACAGGUGAAGAGGAAGAGAAAGUUGGGAGAAAGUACAGAAUGUAGAUAUAAUAGAGACGACAAAAGGAUGAAAGAAAGAUCGAGAAUAAGAAAGAGAGAGAAAGAGAAAGCCUGGAGAAGACAGGAGAGAAGAAAAGGGAGAUGGGGCAGCAGAGAAGACCUGUUUUGAUUGGCAGGUAGCAGAGAAAUCUUGCUUCCAGGGUGGAAGAAUUCUAAACGAAAGGUCUCAGAGCCCCCAGGGUUCGCCAGCGGACGGGCUAACGCCAGCCCCUCACUUACCAUCUUGCAGUGGAAGAAGGCGCUGCAGAAACUGAGCCCGCUCUUAAUUUUUUCGAAAACUGACAUGCUUAUAAGAGGAAGAGACACGAGGAAAGGCUUGCAAAGAGAAAAGGACAUCUGAGGACACAGCAAGAAGAUGGCCAUUUGCAAGUCAAGGAGAAACUGAUUACCCUGCUAAUGCCUUGAUCCUGGACUUCUAGCCUCCAGAACUGUGAGAAAAUAAAUUUCUGUUGUAUAAACUA